UGCACAUUCACAUGUAAACUGGCUGGUUGU
rnacentral:piRNA from 1 species